UUUAACUAAAUAAUGAUGUGCUUGUCAUCUAUCUGUAUAUUAUCUUAGAGCCCUGGCAGGGUUAAUCAUUGUAGGAAUUUGGUUCCUACUCCCAAUACAUGCAAGUGUGGCAACAUGUAUGAGUUUGGGGCAUUCAUCAAGUGGACCCCUCCAUGUAACCAAAAAUCAGGUUGAUGAGGUCUCUAGUGGGUCUCAUGUAAAAGAAAGAUGGAUGAUUAAAGGAACUGGCAAGGCCGGGGAACAUUAGACAUUCCAUCUUCCGAAACCAACACUUUGGAUAUUAUUUGACAUACAAUAAUCUCUAUAUGCCUAUUAUGGAUCUGUAGAAUGGAUGAAUAGGAUCAUCAAGCUUCAUUAUGAUUAGGGAUUUUGUAGGAAUUAGUAAGUAUAAUUUUUUUUUUCCCUCUUCUUCUUUUCUAUCAUAAAUAUGUAAAACAAGCCCUAAAAGGCAAAUGCUAUUUUUCUUGUACUCCAUCUUCCUUGUAAGAAGAUAGCCAUAGUGUAAACAUUUUACUUUUUCCAUAGUAUAAGCUGUUUACUUUUUGGUUAGUUGUUUGUUUGUACUUUGCAUGCUUACACUACUAUAACAAAAACUAGCAGACUGAUGUAGAACAUGGCACAGAUACAUUCCUGGCAUGGUUGGACCAAAAGAAGGUGGAAUGUAAAUUGAUCAUAAUUUAAUCUCUUCUCCUUAUAAAUGAUUUUGCUGACUCCUGCAAAACAGCGAGCUUGCAACUGAUGUUGCACCCAUGGGCUCAGUUAUUUCCUGAAAUCAGCCAACAUCUUUCCUCUAAAAAAAAUAUUAUUUUGCUUUUAACCAUUUCAUCGUGUCAUAAUUGUUAUUGUUUUUGUUGUUAACACCAUGCAAUUUUACUUCUAGCUCAUGUAGAUUUUGUUCAAAUCCGGCCGUAUGAUAACUCAUUUAUUUCAUGCUGUUAUCAUCUUGGGUUGCUGCUAUUAAGGCAAUGCAUGAUGUUAUUUAUCUUCGCCAUCAUCUAGAGAAGGCAAGUUCAGUCCCUUCACCUUUUGGUCCAUUGUAUGAACUCAUUGUAAUAGAUAUUUGGUUCCUAGAGAGUCAAGAUUUCAGAAACUGUGGAAGCCCCACUCUAUAUUAGGUAAUUGUGCCCUGUUUCAAUGGCAAAAAUGCACCCAAUUCAGAAACUGUGGAAGCCCCACUCUAUAUUAGGUGGAAAGCAGAAAGUCCAUCAAACUGGCUUCAAAUGACAAGUGAGCUCAUUUAUCAAAACAGAAAUGAGCAUGUUGCAAUCACUUAAUAAUGUCUCCCUUGCAGGUUGGUUCUUUAGAUCCUGGCAAACUCAUAAAAAUACUCAAAUCAUCAAUACCCAGUUUGUAACUGCAUUCAACUGUGAUGGUUCUCCCUCCAGGAUUCACCAAAUUGUGACAUUCACAUUUUCUGUAGUGUGCUAUUUCAGUUCUUAGAAAGACAUUGAAAACUAAGAUAACUCUGAAAUGGGCAUUAGCACUGGUCAAGUGACUCAAACCCAAGACUGGUGAAUGCAACUGCAAUAGCUUGGCUAUUGCAUUCAGUGAAUUGGUUUUCUCUUUAGGUAGACUUUUGCACUAAUAACUUCAUAUAUGUUUUUCUGUAUCCUUAUCAGAUUUUACAAGUUUUAAAGAACUGUCUAACUUUUAAGUGGGAGCAGAAAAUCAGUUGACUUUGUUGUCCUGGUGUACUUUAAAAAGAAAAAAAAAGGUUGGACUGUCAAAAAGAAAUGGGUUAUUUGCUGUGUAUCGUAAUCUGCCUGUAGUACCGGAUUUAUGUCGAUCUUUAUUGAAUAAUAAUAAUAAUCUAUUUUUCCAUCAUGAGCAGGGAUUUUGAUGUCUACAUUUGACAUGAAGGAUGAAUCCAAGGAAGUGAUUUGGCAAGAUGUUGGUAGUGGGAGGAAUGCUAAUACUGGAAAGGAUAAUGGGGUCAAUCAAAGCACCGACAGAGGCCUUACAUCCACCUCUUCACCAGUUUCGCAGGACAGAGAAAAUAAGGCAACCAUUCCAACCGUGAGGUAAACUUCAUUUAUAGAUUUUUCUGAUCAUGGGACCACCAGCCUUUGAGGAUUUUCAGCCUUUGAAUUUGAGGACUUUCAGGGAAAAUUACAAUAGAUCAACCUAUGCUCCUCUCACUAUCUUUUUUUCCCCUAAAGGAGGUGCUCGAGUCCAAGGGCUGGAAAUGUCCAAUCAGGGCUCACCUGAUUAUCAAUUCAGAUGAACUACACCUUACAUGCG